rnacentral:lncRNA from 1 species
CGUCAACGGAGGUUCCGGCUUCUCUGUGUCGUUUCUUCGGGAGUUGGCAUUGGAGUGGGCCGCCUUAAUAUGCUGUGGUGUUUCCCAGUCAAGCCUUGUGUGGAAGAUCAAAUACUAAAGAGGUAUCUUCUGUUCCUCAAGAGGGGAAGCUGUGCUGUUUUUCCGGCGUAAAAGAGUUGUGGUAACUGAGAGCCGCAACACUCCUCCUGAGGAGAGGCGAGAGCUUGAGGAGAGGCGAGAGCCGCAACACUCCUCCUGAGGAGAGGCGAGAGCUUGAGGAGAGGCGAGAGCCGCAACACUCCUCCUGAGGAGAGGCGAGAGCUUGAGGAGAGGCGAGAGCUGCAACACUCCUCCUGAGGAGAGGCGAGAGCUUGAGGAGGGGCGAGAGCCGCAACACUCCUCCUGAGGAGAGGCGAGAGCUUGAGGAGUGGGCGAGAGCUGCGACACUCCUCCUGAGGAGAGGCGAGAGCUUGAGGAGGGGCGAGAGCUGCAACACUCCUCCUGAGGAGAGGCGAGAGCUUGAGGAGGGGCGAGAGCUGCGACACUCCUCCUGAGGAGAGGCGAGAGCUUGAGGAGGGGCGAGAGCUGCAACACUUCUACUUCUUCACCGACAGAGCUGUGACACUUACCUUAAAAGCUGCAACGAUAAUACGGAGCUGUUGCCCUACCUGGGAGCGUUCCUGGUUAGGUAUUCUCAUUAGUGGAUUCUAUGGCUUCUUCACUUGCUGAGUCUCCAGUGUCUGGAUCUCCCAAGCUUCCAUGAGACUUGGGAACAGGUAAUUUUCGUGGGUUAGGUGCUGUGUGUUUUAACUGCUCGGUGCUUAAGUGGGAUAUACUCAGCAGCCCUGGGAGAACUGAGUUGCUGGUUAACCCCCCAGGGCAGUGAAGACUAAACGUAACUGGGACUCUUGGUGUCCACAUAGAGGCUACCAGAUAUCCUGAUCACAGUGGAAGGUGGCCAUUGGCAGGUCAAAGACGUUUCUGCCAAAUUGGUAGGGUUCAUUGUCGGUAGAUUUUCAGCCUCCUUAAUUAACUGUUGAGGAUAAGUCUGGCAUUUUGUUAAGGUAGCCCAACUCAGUGUGAGUCUUAACCCCACCCCACCCCUACCAUGAUGUUUAAGACUGGAGAUUUGAGAAGGGAACAAGCAGGUAUCCACUAUUAUCUCCUAGUGGGCCUACCUAGGAACCCCCUCCCCACUGUCCCAAUCUUUGGGGAACCCUGAGGCUAAGGCCACUCUGCUGAGCUUCUGGUAGUUCGGGUCUAAUGCUAUGCACCUGUACCCAUGGCUCCACCUCAUCCUGAGCGAGCAGGCUGGGCAAGUGCUGGGUGCCACUUGAUCAUAACCCCACCAGUAGGCAGCCUAGGUAAAUCUGCAGCCAUAGAUGGGCCAAGUAUUUCCUGCCAUGUUCUGACCAUCAAGUCGUGCCAUGGAGUUAAGCUGAGGGCUCAUGGGUCUCUGGCCAGGCUUCUCAGUUAAAUACACAGCUGCUAUCACUGAGUAAGUGCUCUGCCACAUAAUUGAGAGCCCAUAAAGAGACUAUAACUGGUUAUUACCUCUGGUCUCUGCUUCUUGGUAAUUCACCAAGUCACUGAAGACUAUUGCUAUGUCUAAAUUAAAACUUCAUUUUUCCCCCUAAAAUAUUUCCACAGAUUGAUUCUAUUGAUAAUACCUCUUUCUCUUUCAAAACCCCAACAGUAAAUUCCUCAUUCUACCUCGCCACCUGCUACAAGCAGGUCCCUCCUGAUGCCUUACUCUGGGUGUGGUACAGCACUGAGCAAUCAGAAGGGAUGUCAGCCAUUGGGGAAAAGGAGAGGAUUGGUGUCAAGUAUAUAUAUAUGGAGUGAUUUUUUUUUUUUCCCCUGUGAAUAACAUGUAAUACAUAUGAAGCUUCAAAUAAUAGUGUCAGAUGCAAGUUUAUUGCUUAGAUAAUGAUAAACCUUCCUGUUAUGAAGCAGUAGCAGUGAAACCUUUUCCCCUUACAGGAUGACUUGGCUGCUAUUUUCAGCUGUGUCUUCUUACUGCUAGAUUUUUUUCUCCUUAUCGCUGUGUGCCCUGCUCCUGCUUUGUCUCCCUUGUACUCCCUGCCUCAAAGGCCUGCCAGGUGUCUGCCCUAGGAACUCACCCAAAAGAAACUUUGGGAAAAUGGACAUAGUCCACUGCAUCCAAACCGAACUCCUAUGUGAUCCAGGUAUGCAUCUCAACUGAUGGCCUUUAUGAUUUCUUUUAGUUAUCUAUUGCUGUGCGGUUUAUAAAAUGGCUCUCAUUGACUUGCUCAGUCUGCAGUUUGGCCUGGGCUCAGCAGGGAAGGCUUAUCACUGUUCCUUUUGGCAGUUGUUGUUUGGCUGGCAGUGGCUGCAGCCCCUGCACGGGCCCUUGGGCUUCUCAUGGCUGGACUCAGAGUCCUUGCUUGGCACUUGAAGUCAGACUCCCGGAUCUUCCUCUGGCUCCAUUUGUGCACUUCUUAUAAAAUCCAGUUUUAACAAAACACUGCUGUGGGUUUCCCGAGAGCCCCACCCCUCCUGGAUCUCCCAUUGCCCUCCAUGUACAAUUGUGUUCACCCCCCACCAUUUCCCAGGUAAAGUCUGGCCACUUGUGCCUGCCCUUAGCAAAAAUCCCAUUAGACCAGUUUAGCCAGAUCACCCUGACCACUGAUGUUUCCCCUUAGUGAUUUUCCUUCCCCUGGUCCCAAUCUGCUGAGUGGACUCUGCUUGCCCAUGUGGGUGCUUGGUGUUUAGGCCCAUCUUUCUCAGGCAGAAUUCCCUCACAGUGGUUCUUCUACCUAUCCACGUAAUCCUCCUCACUGUGCUUACACUGGCCAUUGAACACCUUGUUUUUGAACACUUCUAAGAGAAAACACGCAAGCGAAAAGGCCCUAAGGCCCAGCCUCGUAAGUUACACAGCAUCACUAUUAUUUUUGCCAAAACAGGUUGGAAGGCCAACCCAGCCUGCCUUUCAAAACCAGGCAUUGUAAAGAGUUUUCAGCCACCUUGCCUCACCAUCAUCUUUCUGACUUUUAACAAAAGACCUAUUCUUUUUGAAUAAAUUCCUGGCUUUGUCUUGUGGAUUCUUUUUCUUGGUUAAUAUUUACUGUCUGGCAUCUUUAUUUGUCUCCUUCAGAUUGCUUUACUGUCCCUGGGCUGUAGUACUUUCACAACUUCAGAUGGCUGGGUAAUUUUCGCCUGUGGCUCACCUUUGUGGGAACCCACGCUUGCCUCCUUGUCUGUGGAGGCAGCUUUGUGGGUGGGCAAACCUGUAGCCAGAGCAGGAGGUCUUUUUCUCGUACACACACAUGGAUGAGACAAGCCCUCUCUGGCUCCUGGAUCUUGGUGUUGAGUAUUAGGAUGAGAAGUUGGGCUCCUUGCAUCUGCUGAUCCAUCACCUUAAUCGAAAGUUCUUGAUAGUUUCUUCCCAAAGACUCUUUCAUGACCUGGCUUCUAUCAGUCAUCUGCAUCUUUUUCCAGGUUUAACUAUCAUGCCUUAGCACAGCAGUGAUCAAUGUGAAAAGUUAACAGUGUCCCUUUCCUUACAAAGCCACUGGAUUCGAUCACUGGGGCUCACCCUAGGUCCUGUAUCUAGCCUACCCCCUGCCAUAGAGCCAUCUCUAAACGCUGUAGUCUAACAUUUCUACCAUCUUAAUGCCAUUAAGACUUUGGGGGUCAGCUCCUGCCUGGUUCUGGAGACAACCCAGGAAACCACAGCAUCACCUGUGGAUUUAAAUGACUCAAACUCCAGCAGCCGCCUCGAGUGCACGUUUUAUUCUCACUCAUCCCUUCUCUGUGCUUGCAGGUUAGGGGCAGUCUGUGGUCUCAGGCCAGCAGCUCUGUGUGUCUGCUCCUGCCAGCAGCUCUCCACUACCCACAGUACUCAGGGCUGUGCAUCAUGUGCAUCACGGCUCCUGCUCACAUCCCGUCUAAAAUGACAGCUGCCUCAUCAGGAACAAGAAGAUCAGGCUCUCAGUAGCUCUCCCUGGCAGACACCAGGCACUCGGCACCACCACUUUCCAGAGCCCAGAACACAGACCAUGCUGAGGGCAGGUAGCAGAGCUGUUGGUCACUAGAGUGAUCCCGAUGCCCAGCUUCACUCUGGAUACCUCCUACACCGUGGAAGAAAAGCCAGGCCACUUCUUCCAGGCUCCACAUGCCAGCUGGCACACCCCUGAUGCCAGCAAAGGGACAGGUGCCGUGCUCCGGCAGGGUUCUGUUGACAUACACACCCCUUCUCUCCCCUGCUCACAGAAUCACCACUGUGUGUGCAUCCGAAACGUCGGGGGAUUCCCUGCACUGACAAUAAAAAUGAUAAUGACAAUUGUCAUUAUUGAGGAGAAGGUAGGCACUUGGACCCUUUCUCUAGGAUGCCACAGAAAGCACUUUAAGGAACAGCCUCAGCUUAGCAGCUGUGGUAUCCUUCAUCCAGACUUGGCCACAAAGGAGAUGAUGCCCAGCCUCUGGCUUGGGGUAGGAAAAGUAUGGGCUCCUCUGGUUGCCACCUGCGUAGCUGCUGAAUGCACCUUCUCUACAUGUGACUGACAUUGAAGCUACAAUCAGAGUUCUUUCCAGCUGUGCUGCUCUGGGCCCCUGGGACUCCUGGUGGUAAGGAAGUAGACUUCCUUGUGAAUGGGUCCUCCUAUUAUGACCCUCCACUGUGUGAUCUCGAUGCCCAGGGGUACAGGAAGCCCAGCUGUGCUCACCUGGAGUGUGGUCAACACAGGACCCCCGAUAGGAAAGGGCUUUUUCACUGCAGGAGACAGGCUGCCCUUUAUAUUUGCAAGCUGCAGGGUAAAGCUUGACUCACCUGCCUGUGCUCUUCACCAAUCCCGGCAGAGCAUGGUACUUGUAAGCAUGUGUUUUUGGUGACAGACUGCCUGGGCCAUGAGCUGCAUGCCCCUGGGUAAGUUAUACAAACUCUGUGGGCCCUAAGUUUCGUGUCUGUAAAUGGGGGCGAUAAUACUACCUCUCCACAGGGCUGCUCUGGUGACUGAACGAGUGAGAAGGGUGCCAUUGCCUGAACAUGGCCAGCGUUCAGAGGUGUCCUGCCGUCUCAUCACCUUCUCCACCCUCCUACAGGCCUUUCAGAAGCCACCCACCAUCUGCCUCUUCCCAUGAGAACUGUGGAUAAGAGUGUAAAGACUCGCAAACGGCAGAAACACAAGUUCUAAGACCCCGUGUUGGCAUAUGCCAUGGAGAGGCACCGCAGCGCUGUGGGACAGCCAGUGGAGGACCCCUGGGAGUAGGAAGCCACUGUGAUUUAGUGGAAAGAAACAGAAUGUCACGCUCAAGUUAAAAGGGUCCAGGACCCUCAUCCACCUCUCGCCACAGUGGAAACGUUGCCAAGAGGCUGAGCCCCAGAGGGAGAGGUCUGUGGUGAUGCUGGGCCAGUGGCUUCCAGGGAGAGGGAGGCUUCUGAGCUGUGCUUGGCAUGUAGUGGAGAGCCACAGCCCAGGGCUUGUGGAGUGGAGGAGGUGGCCGUGGCACUGGGAGAAGCUACUGAGCUCCUGGACAUUUCUAGAACCUAAGUUCCCCAGCCUCUGCCAAUGGAGGCCCAGUUUGCUCUCUAGGAGAGGGCAGGGCAAACCUUCCCAAUGCACCCUCCCUCUGGCCAGGAAAUGCCCAGGGGCUAAAUGAGAAGGGCAGGCCCCUGUAGCCCUCCAGGAAAGGCAGGCAGUGAGCACAGGAAGGGAGGCCAGGCCUGCAAUUCCAGCCAUCACAGAUUAAUGGGAAAUGACUAGAAUUCGCCUUCUCGUGCCCAGGUAGGCACCGACUCUUCCCUUGCCGUGCAGAAUGCUGACCCCCGUCAUUUAUUCAUUUAUUUUCUUGCUCCUUAAAUGAGCUCUGUGAGCCACAGGAUGGGGGCUCUGUCUUACCAGGCUGGCACUCAGACCAUUGUCCAGUGCAUGAGAGGUGCCCGAGUUGGUUUUCCAUUCCUAUAACAAAUACCUGAGGCCGUCAACCCACAACAUGGGGAGAUUCACUUUGGCUCACAGUGUUGAAGGUUCCAGCUCACGGACACUUGGCCCUGUUGCUUUGGGGAGCGUGGAGAGACCGCACAUCAUGGUGGGGAGCAUGUAGAGAUUGGGCUGUCCACCCCGCGGUGGGAAGUGAAAGUGGAAACAGGAAGAGAACAGGGUCCCACAACCCCUCUGAGGGCAGGUCCCAGGGGCCUAUGGCCUCCCACAAGCUCCACCUCCUAAAAGCUCCACCAUUUCCCAAUGUCACUGAGCCGGGGACCCAGCCUUGACACAUCGGUCUUUGUGGGACACACCAGAUCCAAACUACGGUGCUCAACAGAUAUUGAACAGGUAACAAAAUGAGAACCAUAACUGGUAGUGAGAAGCCUGGCUUAGAGUUCAGAUGUUUUCAGGAGGGAGGGAGAGAAGGGGGAAUGUGCCCCUAAGCCAGGUUCCACGCAGCCAAGGGCUGCAGUCAGUUGGUGACACAGGUCCAGUGGCAGGAAUGCUGAGUUUCGUGCUGUGACUAGACAAUGUGGUCCCUCCAGUCCUCAGGCACAAGGCUUGGUUCUUUAAGUGGACCUCACUGGGAAGGGAUAAGACAAUAUGACCCAUUUCAUUCCCCUCCCUUAAUCCACAAUGCAUCGUGUCCUGUAGCAAUGGACCCCGCCUCGUCCACAGUCAAAGUGGACGCGUAGACCACAGUGGUCAUUCAGCCUUGCUCUCUGCAGCCUGAACACUUGGAAUUUCAAAGCAGCUGCUGCUAUAGAAUUUUCUAGAAGUCCACGUUGGCUGGAGUGGGUUGUGCCCCUGGCUCCUUGUGCAUCAAUGCUAACGGCAGGGUGCCGGCCGCUGGGCUGCCACUCACCUCAGGUCUUGCCUGUCUGCCUUUUGGGAGUGUUGGAGAGCCAGCCUCACACUAGUGUUCAAUUAAGUGAAAUUAGAUUUUGCAAGAUGGAAGUUUCUUCCCCUUGCUCCAUCCAGGAAGAAUCGAUCUAAUUAUCACGUCCAUGCUCCCAGGACUCUUGUUUAAAUCUCUCCUCCCUGUUUCAGUUGAACGCAUUGGUGCUGCAGAUGUGUCUUUAGUUAAUGGAGGUUGGAGCGGUUUGCAAGUCCUGCUGGGGGUGAGCCACAUGUGCGACGACCCCAGAGUGGGUGUGCCUCUUGCUUUUCCUGCUUGAUCAGGCCCAACCCAGUCGGCCAGCCACUCCUUAGGGACCUAAGCCCUCUUGGGGUGCUGGUUCCCACCCUCUGCUCCUAUGCAAAGACCACCAAGGCACUGGGGACUCACGGCACCAGGAAAGUUGAGCUCCUUUCCCACCUGUGGCUGGCUGGAGGACGGGGUGGUAGAGGGUGGGAGCCUGCAGGAAGGUACCUGAAAGGCCUCUUUCUAGCUGAGUGGCAGUAGGCUCUGCCCAUCCUGGUUCUGAUCUCCACGAUGGGAGAUGAGCUCGUUCUACUGUCUGCAGGGCAGUCUCUCCCCAGUGUGCCCUUCCCCCAGGCAGCCAUCUCAUGGCCUCUCAAUCAGCCACGGCCCUUUAUUUCCUGUAAUUCUGGUGCUUUGACAUCUUGGGGUUUGCUGCCUCAGAAGGGACUACACUUCCCAGGGCAGGCCAUCCCUAGAGGGAGUGAGAAGUAUGCAGGAACCUCUCCAUGAGCGUCCAUCCGACCUGCCUGAGCGUGUGUGGCUCUCACUCUGUCUCUUCCUUCAUCACUCAGGGACAGACCCUAGAGAACUUGGGACAGCACUCGACCCCCCAGUCCAAUGGAGUUAUCCAAAUCAGCCAUUCCAAACUUAAGGGCCCAGCCACAUCCACUCCUCCUCAAGACCCACUGCGAAAGGUCCUGCCCACAGUCCCCCCAGUUGCUGCUGUCGACUGAGCAGACCUGGAGCUUCCCCUGCAGCCCUGUGGCAGGGCAUGCCCACGCCUCUUGGGAACUGAGUGACCAACCAUCUUUCCAACAGCAGCCUCCUGGCCUGGUGACUUCACCGUACCUCAAUAACAACCACACUGCAUUUUAAAACAGCCUCCUGGCCCCCUCGGGGUAGAGGCCGCUCACUGCUCCUGGCUGGAGGAAAGCCAUCUUGUCUGGCCAGGGGCAGCAGGUGGCAGAGCUGAGCCCAAUCUACAUUCUCUCCCAGCUGGCCUCGAGGAGGAAGCCUUGCACUGACAGGAGCUCCUGUCCCAACUUUGGGGACCUCUGUCUCCUAAAUAGAAUUGAAAUAAACUAUGCAUCUUCAGAACCACGGAGAGGUAUUCCUGGGGCACACGCUGCGUGUGAGGAUAGAAAGUGGCUUGGAGGGUGACAAAAAGGAAUAUGCAUUUCCCAUUCGUUUCCAGAAACGUCUGUGAGAGUCCUGCAGUCCUGCCCUGCAGCCACAGCUGGUAGCUGUUGGAGCUAUUCCCGCCCUUGCUGGAUCAUGGCCCCCAUGCGAGCUGACAGUCCAGGGAAGCUCCUCAGAAUGGAGAUGCUGUGUGGAUAAAAGAGGAGAGAGUCCUAUGAAGGAAACUGAUCAUAUUGAAGUAUAAUUUAAAAAUAUUUUAAAACAAAUAUUAAUUUGUCAGUGAAGCACUUCUCUAUUAAUUCUUCAAUAACAUGAUAUGGCGGGGGGGUCUCAGAAACCACGGUGUUGCAGCUGUGAUGAGCCUGGAUAUAGAUGCUUCGCAAUUCCUGCUGCGGUUAUAACUUACCUGGAAAGAUCUGUGGUUUCCACUGCCCCGGGCACUGUUAAUACACUGGGGUUUGUCGCAUGUGGAGCCAGCCCUCUGUGCCCAUGGGUUCCAGACAGCAGUGAAAAUUUAAAACUCAUGUUCAUACUGAAAGCGCAGGCUUUUUUCUUUUGUCACUGUUCCCUAAGAAGUAAGCCUGACCAUCAUUUAUACGGCGUUUACGGUGUACUGAGUACUGUACAGACACCAGAGGUGAUUUGAAGUGUAUGGGAGGGUGUUUGUAGGUGACACAAACAUUACAACAUUUCAUAUAAAGGACUUGAGUCUCCGUGGGUUUUGAUAUCCGUCAGGGAAAGGUAUCCUGGAACCAGUUCCCCCCCCAUGCUGAGGGACCACGGCAUUCAUCACUGAAGGACACGCGGUAUUGCAAAUGAGGUCACCAAACAGAAGAUGUCAUUUCCUACCUAGUUCAAGCUUGCAAGUGCCCUGAAUCCUGCCCCACCUGUGGCCUGCAGGAGAUGCCUUCUACAGCUUUGAAAAUCAGCAGCCGCUGGGCGAGUCCUUCUCCCCAGCCAAGUGUGCCCAGGCCACAGGGGUCUGGCUAUGGCUCAGAGGCCUCCCUGAGCUGAGAAGUUAGGCCAACACACCAUGUCCUUGUUUGCAAGUGGCCCUCUCUGCCCUCUCACCCAGAGGGGAAAACCGGGUUCUUCCUUGGUAAGCAUGGGCACCGAGGUCCCAUCAACUCACCUGGGGUGGAGCAAGGCCAGCUCAGUGAACUCUGGCCAGAUUCACUGACUCUGUUCCACAGAAACGGGAAGCUGUGGCAGUUCUGGCCCCCUCUUUCCAGUGACAGGUGGAUCUUAUGAACCCUGGAGACCUCUCCAGGUACCAUGAUUUGAUUGUGUCAUCUCUGGGCAGGGCACAUGGCAGCUCGAACAUGACGAAUCACCUGUUUUGGUCACAGGGAGUUUUGGAUGUCCGUGGCUGUUUGGAUUGAGGUGUCCUCCAAGAGCUCGUGUGUGAGACACUGCAAGAAAAUUUAAAGGUGAAGUGAUUAUCUUAUCAGAGAUGCAACCUACCAGCACAUUGAUAGGGAUGACCUGAGUGGUAAUUAGGCAGGUAGGGUGUGGCUGCAGGAGGUGGGUUCCUUUGGGGUAUAUUUUGUCCCUGAUGAGCAGAGCUUAGUCUCUCUCUCUCUCUCUCUGCGUCCUUGUGCGUGUCCUGAGCCACUUUCCUCCACCACUUCCUUCUGCCUGAGGUUCUUCUGCGGCACCAUGGCCCAGAGCAGUGGAGUCACGUCUAUGCAGAGAAACCAAACCCCCCUCCACGUCGGCAUGUGGCAGCAGACUGCAGGGCUCUCACCUCAGCAGCUCCAAGUGUGGGCCUCUCCGUGAGCCCAGACUGCCCUGCUCUCUGCCCACGCUGUGUGCUGCAAGCCGAGUGGCAGGUGGCUGGGGUGAGACAUGUGAAGCUCACCAGGCAGAGGGUUUGCUGGUUUGCGGGGUGUGGGAAGCCAUUCUUGCACGUGAUUGGGCACCUCCCUGAUUGGGUGUGAGGCUUCUGGCUAAACUGUGUUGGAACUAAUCCCCACCCUCUUUAGGUGCGAGAGCCCAUCUGUGUGGGGGUGUGACUGACCAUUGACCCUGAGACCAAUCACUGACCCUGACCUUGGAAUGCUGUCCCCCUCGACCUUCAUUGAAUGGAAUUUUCCCCUGAAUUUCUUAUUCCCCAAUAAAAGGCCACUCCCUGGCGUGCUCUCUCUCUCUCUCCUGCUAGUCUGUGUAAACCUCCUUGCCCCACCAGGUGGCUCGAGGCAGGAGCCAGAGGGGGAGCCGUCUCAGACCUGGUCAAAGAAAAAGGUAAAUUGAGUUUUG